UACGUAGGUGGCGAGCGUUUGUCCGGAUUUACUGGGCGUAAAGAGCGCGCAGGCGGCUGGUCAAGUCCGAUGUGAAAGCUCCCGGCUUAACUGGGAAAUUGCAUCGGAAACUGAUCGGCUGGAAGGUGGGAGAGGGUAGCGGAAUUCCCGGUGUAGUGGUGAAAUGCGUAGAUAUCGGGAGGAACACCAGUGGCGAAAGCGGCUACCUGGCCCAUUCUUGACGCUGAGGCGCGAAAGCUAGGGGAGCAAACGGG
rnacentral:rRNA from 1 species